UACGGAGGGUGCGAGCGUUGUCCGGAAUCAUUGGGCGUAAAGGGCGCGUAGGUGGCCCGGUCAGUUCGUGGUGAAAGCGCGGGGCUCAACCCUGCGUCGGCCAUGAAUACUGCCGCGGCUGGAGCACUGUAGAGGCAGGCGGAAUUCCGGGUGUAGCGGUGGAAUGCGUAGAUAUCAGGAGGAACACCGGUGGCGAAGGCGGGUCUCUGGGCAGUAACUGACGCUGAGGAGCGAAAGCGUGGGGAGCGAACAGG
rnacentral:rRNA from 1 species